GUGAACGCUGGCGGUAGGCCUAACACAUGCAAGUCGAACGGCAGCACAGUAAGAGCUUGCUCUUACGGGUGGCGAGUGGCGGACGAGUGAGGAAUACAUCGGAAUCUACUUUUUCGUGGGGGAUAACGUAGGGAAACUUACGCUAAUACCGCAUACGACCUACGGGUGAAAGCAGGGGAUCUUCGGACCUUGCGCGAUUGAAUGAGCCGAUGUCGGAUUAGCUAGUUGGCGGGGUAAAGGCCCACCAAGGCGACGAUCCGUAGCUGGUCUGAGAGGAUGAUCAGCCACACUGGAACUGAGACGCGGUCCAGACUCCUACGGGAGGCAGCAGUGGGGAAUAUUGGACAAUGGGCGCAAGCCUGAUCCAGCCAUACCGCGUGGGUGAAGAAGGCCUUCGGGUUGUAAAGCCCUUUUGUUGGGAAAGAAAAGCAGCAGGUUAAUACCCCGCUGUUCUGACGGUACCCAAAGAAUAAGCACCGGCUAACUUCGUG
rnacentral:rRNA from 1 species